AAAACUGAGGUGGUAUACGAUGGUUCCGCGUCUGAUUAGCUAGUUGGUGGGGUAAUGGCCUACCAAGGCAACGAUCAGUAGCCGGCCUGAGAGGGUGAACGGCCACAUUGGGACUGAGACACGGCCCAAACUCCUACGGGAGGUAGCAGUGGGGAAUAUUGCACAAUGGGGGAAACCCUGAUGCAGCGACGCCGCGUGAGUGAAGAAGUAUUUCGGUAUGUAAAGCUCUAUCAGCAGGGAAGAAAAACCGACCAUAGGGUCGCUAGACGGUACCUGAUUAAGAAGCCCCGGCUAACUACGUGCCAGCAGCCGCGGUAAUACGUAGGGGGCAAGCGUUAUCCGGAUUUACUGGGUGUAAAGGGAGCGUAGACGGCAGCGCAAGUCUGAAGUGAAAUGCCGGGGCUUAACCCCGGAACUGCUUUGGAAACUGAGCAGCUAGAGUGCAGGAGAGGUAAGUGGAAUUCCUAGUGUAGCGGUGAAAUGCGUAGAUAUUAGGAGGAACACCAGUGGCGAAGGCGGCUUACUGGACUGUAACUGACGUUGAGGCUCGAAAGCGUGGGGAGCAAACAGGAUUAGAUACCCUGGUAGUCCACGCGGUAAACGAUGAUUACUAGGCGUUGGGGGACCAAGGUCCUUCG
rnacentral:rRNA from 1 species